AUCCCAUUCAGAACUAUUUUGGCACCACCACAGCUGCUGGUGAAACCAGAUGGGCGUAUCCCAGCAGGAGCAGAGCAGGAAUGGGACAGCUAACUCUGAAAAGCGCUCUCCUUGGAGGAUCACAGUUCUGAGGUUCCGGUUGUGAAACUUUAGCUCCAUGCUCUCUCUGUCCUUCCUCCGCCCCCUCCACACCUCUGCGGUGGUCCUCCGGAAGCAUCCUGAGCUCUUCUUCACUCCAGUGCCCAGCAUGUGCUUGGAGGUGCAGAGGGUUCCCAGCUUUCCUACAAUGACAUGGGACAGCGUGUUUUAAAAGCAUUUUAGCACCAUUUAAGAAACCAUACAAGGACAAGGAAAGAAAAGGAAAAAGGAGUAUGAUCUCUGUCCCUCAUCCCAUCUCUACAUGCUUCCUGAGUUCACAGACACUGAUAAUUCAGUGUCCACCUAAGACAUCCUUCCAUCCCAAGUAAGAAUCAGCUUGGUCAAGCUUAAUGAAAACAUCACCAAAAGUGGUGUAAAUGCGGUCUUUCUGUGGCAGGACAAGAAGCCCAUGGGAAAACACUGAUAACGCUGGCUGGGUGCCAGUAUAGCUUCCUUGUGCAAAUGGAUAUUAUAACUCCUACCUCUACCUCGCCUAUUAAAUGGCAUGCAUCUUCGGCAAAACAAUAGAUUAAUGUCUCUCUUGGGAAAUUUAUGCCAAUGACUGUCCAGAUGUGAAUACUGUCUCCAACAUGUGCUCUUGCCAUAGCAUGCUGCCCUUGCCAGAAGCUCAGACC